GCAGCCCCAGGAGCAGCGCCGGCAGCAGCGCCGCGGGGAGAGGCAUCCCGGCGAGGGGCGCGCAACCACGGGCCGCCGGCCGGUCGUCGCUCCGAAGAGGCGCUCGCCCCCCCAGCUCCCACUUUAUGCUGAGAUGAUGGCACAUAUAUUUUUGCUGAUACAUUUCUUGGUACUCUGCCAAACAAAAUUGGUGAAAGGAAACAUAAUAGAAAAUGAGUUUUGAGAAUCAGGGUAAGUGUUUGUUAAGCUUAUUUUUAUUAUUAUUGUUGUGGGAAAUAGUAGCUUAAGUUAACUUUUUGUGUGAGAAGGUUUUAGCUGACUUUGAGUGUAGCAGAACUGGUAUACAUGAAUCUGUUCAACAUGUGGCCUCUUUGUAUGAAUCAUUUUCUACCGGUGGCUAACGUGAAGAAAACUGGCUGUUGUAAGCAAAUGACGUGUAUUGCUGAAUUUUAAAACUUCCCAGCAAAGCACCACUUAAAAUCUGUCAGAACAUAUAUGGACAUAGCUGUACAAUCCAUAACCUCUCUGAGCAUGUAGAAGAGUAACUUUUCCAGUUGACCUUUAGUGUCAUAACUGUGAAACAAACGGAUGUCUCUUUUCCUUAUUUACUCUUGGACUUUUCACAGUGCUCAUCACUGCAAGGUCUGAUUCCUCUCUGGAGUUAGCGGCCAUAUCCUCAGAAUACCUCCAUGAGCUGGAUGUUACUGUCAUCUUUCCCAGUCUGUUGCUCUCUGUGGCACCAGAUCAGAUGCCUUCACAUAUGCCUGGAGUGGCAGAGGGGGAACUGAGAUCAGAGAGAUUGUGGAAGAUCUGUGUGGUCUGACUGGGCUGAUGAACUGCUGUGGUAGAGGUUCUCAAAGCCAGGUCUAAGCAAGUGGCUUUCCCCAUGUGGCACACUGUGUAGAGAACCCAUGACAUUAACUUGUACCUAGAGGACAGUACAGAUGCACAGGUCCGGCAGGACCACACCACUUGCCUGCAGCAGGAGAUGCACCUGGGGUCCUUUUAUUUUGGAUGAGCACUGCACUGUGCUCCCGUAUGUGCUGCGUGAGGAAGGGGCUGAAGCACAGAUGUCCUGAAACCUUUGUAAAUACUCUUCCUUCCUAAUAAACACCACUGGUAUUGGCAA